ACGAACGCUGGCGGCGUGCUUAACACAUGCAAGUCGAACGGAAAGGCCCUGCUUUUGUGGGGUGCUCGAGUGGCGAACGGGUGAGUAACACGUGAGUAACCUGCCCUUGACUUUGGGAUAACUUCAGGAAACUGGGGCUAAUACCGGAUAGGAGCUCCUGCUGCAUGGUGGGGGUUGGAAAGUUUCGGCGGUUGGGGAUGGACUCGCGGCUUAUCAGCUUGUUGGUGGGGUAGUGGCUUACCAAGGCUUUGACGGGUAGCCGGCCUGAGAGGGUGACCGGCCACAUUGGGACUGAGAUACGGCCCAGACUCCUACGGGAGGCAGCAGUGGGGAAUAUUGCACAAUGGGCGGAAGCCGGAUGCAGCAACGCCGCGUGCGGGAUGACGGCCUUCGGGUUGUAAACCGCUUUCGCCUGUGACGAAGCGUGAGUGACGGUAAUGGGUAAAGAAGCACCGGCUAACUACGUG
rnacentral:rRNA from 1 species